CCACCGGACCUGAGCGGCCUGGGGCUCCCUUCCCGCCCCCGCCUCGGCGCGCGCUGGCGUGUUCCGGGGCAGAUCCUGCGCCCCGGCAGUCCGUCCCCCGGUGUCCAGCCUCUGGCGAGGCCACCGCAUCCGGCAGCGCAGGUUUCCCGGCUCCGGGGGGGUCCGGAGCCCGCAGAGCUGCUCCCGCGGCCGCGGCGGGGCGUGCGCCCGGGCCAGAGCUGCUCGCGUCCCCAGCCCGCCCGGCGCCCCGCCGCCAGGCCCGGGCGGGUGUUGGCGGCGCGCCUGGCGCUGAGUCAGCCGACAUCUCCAGCCAGCCUUAGUGCCCCCUCCAGUGGAUGAAGCCCAAGAAUGAGCAUUCCGAGCAGCUCUGACAAUCGACCGCAUCCAAACUUGAGUUGAACUGAAGCAUUGUGCUGUACACCAGAAAUUGACACAUUUUAAACUCACUGUACUUCAAUAAAUAUAUAUUUUUUAAAAAUAUUUAAAAAAUACAAACUAACUUAUUUACAAAACAGAAACAGACUCAGACAUAGAAAACAAACUUAUGGUUACCAGUGGGAAGGGAUAAAUUGGGAGUUUGAGAUUUGCAGAUACUACUAUAUAUAAAAUAGAUAAACAACAAGUUUAUACUGUACAGCACAGGGAACCAUAUUCAGUAUCUUGUAGUAACCUAUGGUGAAGAAGAAUAUGAGAACGAAUAUAUGUGUGUUCCUAUGUGACUGAAGCAUUGUGCUGUACACAGAAAUUGACACAACAUUGUAAACUGACUGUACUUCAAUAAAAACAUUAAAAAAUAGAUAAAACUCAAGUCGAAGGUUUUUUUCCCACACUGUAGACUGUCCUCUCCUGAUGCUGUCUACUAACACCCAGUCUUUUUAUUUAGAAAGUUUGAAUUUACCAAAAAGGUUGCCAAUAUAACACCCUUUACUCAGAUUACCCUGACAUUAAAAUGUCUCAUAUAACCACAGUGUAAGGAUGAAAGCCAGGGAAUCACAGUGUUAUAAUACCAUUAAGUCAUCUACUGAACUGAUUUGAAUUUUGCCACAUCCCACUGAUGUCCUGUUUCUGGGCCAGGGUCCCAUUCAGAAUCCCACAUGUCCGUUAGUUGUCAUGUUGCCUUCGUCUCCUCCCACCUGGGACAGGUUCUUCAGCCUUUCCUUGUCACUGCAACGCUUUGGAUGGUUAUUUUGUAGGACAUUCCUCACUUUGGGUUUGUCUGAUGCUUUUUCCAUGACUGCACUGAGGUCAUGCAUCAGGGAAGUGAGGUUGUGCCCUUCUCGGGACACCAGAUAAGGCGUUGUGGAUGGGUCUAAUUACAGGCAUACCUCCUUUUACUGCACUUCACAGAUCUUGCUUUUUUAUUUUUUUUUAAACAAAUUGAAGGUUUUGGCAACCCUGCCCCAAGCAAGUUUGUUGGCACCAUUUUUCCAACAGCAUUUGCUCAUGUGUCUCUGUCACAUUUUGGUAAUUUUCACAAUGUUUCAGACUUCUUGAUCAUUAUUAUUAUAUUUGUUAUGGUGAUCUGUGAUCAGUGAUCAGUGAUAUUCCUGUUACCACUCGCUGAAGGCUCAGAUAGAUGAUAGCAUUUUUUAGCAAUGAAGUAUUUUUAAAUUAAGGUAUGGACUUUUGUUUUAGACGUAAUGCUUUUGCACACUUAAUAGACUACACUGUAGUGUAAACAUGACUUUCAUAUGCCCUGGGAAACCAGACAAUUUGUGUGACUUGCUUUAUUGUGAUAUUUGCUUUAUUGUGGAGGUCUGGAACUCCACCCGAAAUAUCUCCUACCAGCACCCAGUACUAGUCAUGGUAACUUUGAUCAAUUGGGCAAGUGAUGUCUCCCUGGGGUUUCUCACUGUAAAGUUUCUUUUGUCAUUAAUAAACAUCCUGUGGGGAGAUGCUUUAUGAUGCUGUAAAUAUCCUGUUUCUCAUCCUUCUUUUCCCCUCUAAUUUGAGCAUCCGUUGAUGAUUCUUGUUUGUAACAGUUAUUACUGGAGUUUUUACCAAAUGUCUUUUUCUAUAACCAUUGUUCCCCCCCUUUUUUUGUUUUUUAAAUUUUAUUUUAUUGAGUUAUAGUCAGUUUACAAUGUUGUGUCAAUUUCCAGUGUAGAAUGCAAUUUUUCAGUUAUACAGGAACAUACAUAUAUUCAUUGUCGCAUACUUUUUCACCGUGAGCUUCCACAAGAUCUUGUAUACAUUUCCCUGUCUAUACAGUAUAACCUUGUUUAUCUAUUCUACAUAUACCUGUCCGUAUCUACAAAUUUCCAACUCCCAGUCUGUCCCUUCCCACCCUUCCCCAUCUGUUAAUUGGAAUUCUACUGUGAAAAAGAGUUUUCUCUUUCCUCCAUUUAUUUAUUUAUGCCAUUAUGUUUACAUCUGCAUAGACUCUUGGAUGUUUGUUUCAUUCUAUGGGUUAUAAAUCAUGACAGUUACUUCUUUAUUUUUGCUCAAAUUAUACCAUAUUCCUUCAAGUCUUUGAUAUCCCUGAGUCUUUGAAUGUGCCUCCCCCCCUUUCCUCUGAGCACUUCCUGUGGUGAUCUGUGAUCAGUGAUGCUUUUUCAUUAGAAAGUAAGAUCUAGGCCCGGGGCAGAUUCCACUUGGUUAGAUGAAAAUGUGGAACUGGGCUGGCAUCAGGGCAGCUUGGGAAGGAGCAGGACAGAAUGUGCAGGGCUGAGAGGCAGAAGGACAAGCGGACUGUGAGACUGAGAGCCUGAGUGCGCCCAGGGAGGGAGGGCAGCUUGGCCACUCCAGCCUUGGCUGUGAGCACCUGUGGGAUGCGGGGCCUCCAUGCAAAUAACAGGAUGGAUUCAGAGCAACAGCGCCCCCCAGUCCACUGGGCUCCACGCAGAGCUUGCCUCUGGAGUAUGCACUUGGAGCCUGGGGUUGAAAGGGAGAGGCUGAUUUUUAUUUUCUCCCUUGAAUUGGUACCGUGGGAAUUUUUUUUUUUAACAAUAGCAUCCAUUAUUUUUAAAAUAAGGUCGACUUCCUUAUUUUUUUCUUGUUUGUUUUGUUUAUUUUUUCAGAAUGGGGAUUAGGUUUAUUUCUUUUUGAUAUAGAUACACUGGGGAUUGAACCCAGGACCUCACACACGAUGUAGAUACACUGGGGAUUGAAUCCAGGACCUCAUGCAUGCCAGGCACACACUCUACCACUGAGCUAUACUCACUCCCGUUUCUUUUCCUUUAACAGUGCCUGUAUUGUUUCCUUUUCUCAAACUGAAGGACAGUGGAGAGGAUGCAGAUAGAUUGUUUCAGUGGAGUUCACCCAUCUCAGAAAGUCUGGGCGAGGCUCCGGCAGCCCUCCGAAACAAAACCCUCAGGCUUCAGGGGGAAGAGGGGCUUUCAAACUCUCCUGAUUGUCACCUACAGGAAAAAAAACCCUAUUUUACAACAUGGCCUACUCUAUACACACAUUUUCAGCUUACGAUUUCCCAGCACCACUGUCAUCUUUGUUAUGUGUGACACAUUCUAUUUUUCGAUUCCAUGUGGGCUAUUUCCCGCUAGUUUGAUUUCACAAAGUACGGAUGGACGGAUCAGGACCCGUGGUUUCAAAAACAGCCCUCUAGGCCACUUUCUUAUUGCACAGACAGGGAAAGUGAAGCCUUAAGAAAGGAAGUGAAUGGCCAAACUACUGCAGCUUUUCAGGGUACAUUUACUUACAGCCUUUAAAACAAUGCUACGUUUUUACAGAUGUUGGGGAGAAAGAAGUCUGAAUAAUAAAGGUAGAUUUUUUUUGAAAGGGGGAGGUAAUUAAGUUUAUUUAGUAGAUUUUUAAAGUGUCAAGAGCUGGAUGAACCAGAGAUUUCUUGCCCUUUUCUUUUUAAAAAUUUUUAUUUAUUUUAUAUUACUGGGGGGGUAAUUAGGUUAUUUAUUUAUUUAUGUGAAUGGAAGAGGUUCUGGGGAUCGAACCCAGGACCUCAUGCAUGCUGAGCGUGGGCUCUACCACUGAGCUAUACCCUUCCCCACCUCCCCUACCCUUUUUCCAUAGCCUCAAGUUCCUAAUGUUGGAGGCCUUAAGCUCUUUAAAAUAAAACACGUUUUGCCCUUCACCA